rnacentral:rRNA from 1 species
GGAUGUGCCGGGCUCCUGCAUGGGGGUCCGGGAAAACUCUGGCGGCGUGGGAUGGGGUCGCGUCCUAUCAGCUUGUUGGCGGGGUGAGGGCCCACCAAGGCUUCGACGGGUAGCCGGCCUGAGAGGGCGACCGGCCACAUUGGGACUGAGAUACGGCCCAGACUCCUACGGGAGGCAGCAGUGGGGAAUAUUGCACAAUGGGCGCAAGCCUGAUGCAGCGACGCCGCGUGCGGGAUGGAGGCCUUCGGGUUGUAAACCGCUUUUGUUUGGGAGCAAGCCCUUCGGGGUGAGUGUACCUUUCGAAUAAGCACCGGCUAACUACGUGCCAGCAGCCGCGGUAAUACGUAGGGUGCGAGCGUUAUCCGGAUUUAUUGGGCGUAAAGGGCUCGUAGGCGGUUCGUCGCGUCCGGUGUGAAAGUCCAUCGCCUAACGGUGGAUCUGCGCCGGGUACGGGCGGGCUGGAGUGCGGUAGGGGAGACUGGAAUUCCC